ensembl:lncRNA
AUGACUUCGUUAGAGGAUUUCGUUAAUUCCCCGUCAGAAGAGAAAUUAAAUUUGUGUUCGAAGAAACAAUUGUGGGGAAUUGUAGGAAAUUAUAAAUGGGUGGGAAUUGAUAAACAUUUACGAAAAGAUGAAUUGAGAGCAUUGAUUAAAAAGAAAUUGAUUGAUUGUGGCGUGAUAAUUGAAGUGCCAGACAUGGCUGGUGUAGGAUCACCAUUUGCGAUGAGUAACCUAUCAUUUGAACAGCGGAAAGAAAUGUUAGAAUUGCAGCAAGCUCAUGAAAAGGAAAUGUAUAAACAGGCUACGGAGUGUGAAAGAGAACUUAAGGAAAAUGAAGUGGAGUUGGAAAAACUUAGGGUCGAUGAGCUGAUAAGGCAGCGUGAAUUUGAGUAUGAAAAACUUAAGCAUGCACAAAGAUUGGAAUUAGAUCGACGAACCCAAGAUCAUCAGUUACAAAUAGAACGAUUAAAGGUCAUGGCUGAUGGGAAACUAUCAGCAGAUGAUUCUGGAAGUCGUGAUCGUUCUGGAGAAUUAGUAAGUAAUUUGAAGUUGCUACCAAAAUUUAAUGAAAAAGAUCCUGAAGUGUUCUUUUCAUUAUUUGAAAGUGUUGCCGAUGAACGAGAUUGGCCUAGUACUGAUCGGACAAUUAUGCUUCAGUCCGUAUUAGUUGGUAGGGCUCAAGAAACUUAUACAGCGCUUUCUAUAGAGGAUUGUAAAGAUUAUUUAAACAUAAAAGCUGCAGUUCUUAAAGCUUUUGAAUUCGUCCCGGAAGCGUAUCGAUUGUGUUUUCACAAUUGGAAGAAAAAUGAGCGACAAACCCAUGUUGAAGUUCUUUGUGAAUUAAGCACUCAUUUUGAUCGUUGGUGUUCUACUUUUAAUGUGCAGACAUUUGAGAGCCUGCGAGAACUGAUUCACAUGGAGCAGCUUAAAUGUAUUAUUCCUGAUAAUAACGCUACCUAUAUUAAUGAGAACAAGCCUAAGACUGCUGUGGAAGCUACAGUGUUAGCUGACGAUUUUGUGAUAACCCACAAAAAUAGAGUUGGUGAUUAUCAAGUUAUUAGAGGUAGGAUUUAUGGUGAAAAUCACUGGCGGUCUAAAUUUCAGAAACCUGAUUUAUUAAAUACAGACCGAGCGCAUAAUGUGCCUCCAAGAGCUAUUCCCAAUUCCGUGUGCCAUUAUUGCUUUGAGGAAGGCCACUGGAAAAAGGAAUGCCCUGUUCUCUAA